GCCAGGCGUGGAGGCACAUGCCUGUAGUCCCAGCUACUCAGGAGGCUGAGGUGGGAGGAUCGCUUGAGUCUAGGAGUUCGGGGCUGCAGUGUGCUAUGCCAAUCGGGUGUCUGCACAAAGUUUAGCAUCAAUAUGGUGACCUUCUGGGAGUGGGAGACCACCAGGUUGCCAAAGGAGAGGUGAACUGGCCCAGGUCAGAAACAGAGCAAGUCAGAACCCCCGUGCUGACCAGAGAAAAAUCAACCAUGUGAAGAAUGAGAAAAAAAAAAAAAAAAGCAGAACUUAAUU
rnacentral:SRP_RNA from 1 species